CCUACGGGAGGCAGCAGUAGGGAAUAUUGGGCAAUGGAGGCAACUCUGACCCAGCCAUGCCGCGUGCAGGAAGACGGUCCUCUGGAUUGUAAACUGCUUUUGAAUGGGAAGAAUGUGCUCCUUGCGAGGGGUAAUGACGGUACCAUUAGAAUAAGCCACGGCUAACUACGUGCCAGCAGCCGCGGUAAUACGUAGGUGGCGAGCGUUAUCCGGAUUUAUUGGGUUUAAAGGGUGCGUAGGCGGCUUAAUAAGUCGGUGGUUAGAGGUAGCAGCUUAACUGUUUUACAUGCCAUCGAUACUGUUGAGCUUGAGAUAUUUGGAGGCAGCUAGAAUUUCCGGUGUAGCGGUGAAAUGCAUAGAUACCGGAAGGAAUACCAAUUGCGAAGGCAGGUUGCUACGAAUAAAACUGACGCUGAUGCACGAAAGCGUGGGGAUCAAACAGGAUUAAGAUACCCUGGUAGUCCACGCCGUAAACGAUGAUUACUAGUUGUUGGGUUUAAGCCUCAGUGACCAAGGGAAACCGAUAAGAAUCCACCGNGGAGAGCGCGACGUAAGAAGUANAAGAAGUAGUUAGAGNGNGAGNGNGACGACGAGACGAGAGGAGGAG
rnacentral:rRNA from 1 species